rnacentral:rRNA from 1 species
UACAGAGGUCCCGAGCGUUGUUCGGAUUCACUGGGCGUAAAGGGUGCGUAGGCGGCUUUGCAAGUCUGAUGUGAAAUCUCCGGGCCCAACCCGGAAAUGGCAUUAGAAACUGCAGGGCUAGAGGCUUGGAGGGGGAACUGGAAUGCUCGGUGUAGCAGUGAAAUGCGUAGAGAUCGAGCGGAACACCAGUGGCGAAGGCGAGUUCCUGGACAAGUCCUGACGCUGAGGCACGAAAGCCAGGGGAGCAAACAGG